rnacentral:rRNA from 1 species
AACGAACGCUGGCGGCAUGCCUAACACAUGCAAGUCGAACGAGAGCUUCGGCUCUAGUGGCGCACGGGUGCGUAACGCGUGGAAAUCUGCCCUUGGGCUCGGAAUAACAGUUGGAAACGACUGCUAAUACCGGAUGAAGUCGAUAAGACCAAAGAUUUAUCGCCCGAGGAUGAGCCCGCGUCGGAUUAGCUAGUUGGUGGGGUAAAGGCCUACCAAGGCGACGAUCCGUAGCUGGUCUGAGAGGAUGAUCAGCCACACUGGGACUGAGACACGGCCCAGACUCCUACGGGAGGCAGCAGUGGGGAAUAUUGGACAAUGGGCGCAAGCCUGAUCCAGCAAUGCCGCGUGAGUGAUGAAGGCCUUAGGGUUGUAAAGCUCUUUUACCCGGGAAGAUAAUGACUGUACCGGGAGAAUAAGCCCCGGCUAACUCCGUGCCAGCCGCCGCAGUAACAC